rnacentral:rRNA from 1 species
GAUGAACGCUGGCGGCGUGCUUAACACAUGCAAGUCGAACGGAAAGGCCCAAGCUUGCUUGGGUACUCGAGUGGCGAACGGGUGAGUAACACGUGGGUGAUCUGCCCUGCACUUCGGGAUAAGCCUGGGAAACUGGGUCUAAUACCGGAUAGGACCACUUCUUGGAUGUUGUGGUGGAAAGUUUUUUCGGUGUGGGAUGAGCUCGCGGCCUAUCAGCUUGUUGGUGGGGUAAUGGCCUACCAAGGCGUCGACGGGUAGCCGGCCUGAGAGGGUGUACGGCCACAUUUGGACUGAGAUACGGCCCAGACUCCUACGGGAGGCAGCAGUGGGGAAUAUUGCACAAUGGGCGCAAGCCUGAUGCAGCGACGCCGCGUGGGGGAUGACGGCCUUCGGGUUGUAAACUCCUUUCGCUAGGGACGAAGCGUUUUGUGACGGUACCUGGAGAAGAAGCACCGGCUAACUACGUG